rnacentral:rRNA from 1 species
AUUGAACGCUGGCGGCAGGCCUAACACAUGCAAGUCGAGCGGAUGAGAAGAGCUUGCUCUUCGAUUCAGCGGCGGACGGGUGAGUAAUGCCUAGGAAUCUGCCUGAUAGGUGGGGGACAACGUCUCGAAAGGGACGCUAAUACCGCAUACGUCCUACGGGAGAAAGCAGGGGACCUUCGGGCCUUGCGCUAUCAGAUGAGCCUAGGUCGGAUUAGCAGUUGGUGAGGUAAUGGCUCACCAAGGCGACGAUCCGUAACUGGUUUGAGAGGAUGAUCAGUCACACUGGAACUGAGACACGGGUCCAGCUCCUACGGGAGGCAGCAGUGGGGAAUAUUGGACAAUGGGCGAAAGACCUGAUCCAGCCAUGCCGCGUGUGU